AGAGUUUGAUCCUGGCUCAGAACGAACGUUGGCGGCGUGGAUUAGGCAUGCAAGUCGAGCGAGAUUAACCUUUUUCAAUUCUUCGGAAAAGAAGCUGGUUAUGAGAGCGGCGAACGGGUGAGUAAUAAAUGGUUAAUUUGCCUCUUUGUUCGGAAUAGCCAUCGGAAACGAUGAUUAAUGCCGGAUGUGUUCAGGUGCUGCAUAGCACCUUAUAUAAAGGCGGGGAUUCUUCGGAACCUGUCGCAAAGAGAUAAGCCCAUUUCCUAUCAGCUAGUUGGUGAGGUAAUGGCUCACCAAGGCUUACGGGUAGCCGGCCUGAGAGGGCGAUCGGCCACACUGGGACUGAGACACUGCCCAGACUCCUACGGGAGGCUGCAGUCGAGAAUCAUUGACAAUGUACGAAAGUAUGAUCAUGCGACGCCGCGUGGAGGAAGACGGCCUUUGGGUUGUAAACUCCUGUCAGCAGGGAGGAAAGAUAGUUAACUUAAUACGUUAGCUAUUUGACAGUACCUGCAGAGGAAGUCACGGCUAACUCUGUGCCAGCAGCCGCGGUAAUACAGAGGUGGCGAACGUUGUUCGGAUUUACUGGGCGUAAAGGGUCCGCAGGCGGCUCGGUGUGUCAGAUGUGAAAGCCCACGGCUUAACCGUGGAAUUGCAUUUGAAACUGCCGGGCUAGAGUACUGGAGGGGAGAAGGGAACACUUGGUGUAGCGGUGAAAUGCGUAGAUAUCAAGUGGAACACCGGUGGCGAAGGCGCUUCUCUGGACAGAUACUGACGCUCAUGGACGAAAGUUAGGGUAGCGAAAGGGAUUAGAUACCCCUGUAGUCCUAACCGUAAACGGUGUGCACUAGACGUGGGAGGCUUUACCCCCUUCCGUGUCUGAGCUAACGCAUUAAGUGCACCGCCUGGGGAGUACGGUCGCAAGAUUAAAACUCAAAGGAAUUGACGGGGACCCGCACAAGCGGUGGAGCAUGCGGCUUAAUUCGAUGCAACGCGAAGAACCUUACCUGGGCUUGACAUAUAGCUGCGUACGAUCCGAAAGGAACGUAGCCUUCGAGGGUGCUAUACAGGUGCUGCAUGGCUGUCGUCAGCUCGUGCCGUGAGGUGUUGGGUUAAGUCCCGCAACGAGCGCAACCCCUGUGUUUAGCUGCCAGCACGUAAUGGUGGGAACUCUAAACAGACUGCUAGUGAAAACCAGAGG
rnacentral:rRNA from 1 species